CCAAGUGCAGUGGUGUUUACAACUAAUUGGUCACAACCAGUUACAGAGUCCUUUGUUCCUUCUCCACUCCCCACUGCUUCACCUG
ensembl:misc_RNA Y_RNA Y RNA